rnacentral:rRNA from 1 species
UGGAGCAUGUGGUUUAAUUCGAUGCUACGCGAAAAACCUUACCUACCCUUGACAUCCUCGAAAUCCUGCAGAGAUGCAGGAGUGCCUUCGGGAAUCGAGAGACAGGUGCUGCAUGGCUGUCGUCAGUUCGUGUCGUGAGAUGUUGGGUUAAGUCCCGUAACGAGCGCAACCCUUGUCCUUAGUUGCCAGCACAUUAUGGUGGGCACUCUAAGGAGACUGCCGGUGAUAAACCGGAGGAAGGCGGGGAUGACGUCAAGUCAUCAUGGCCCUUACGGGUAGGGCUACACACGUGCUACAAUGGGGAGUACAAAGGGUUGCCAAGCCGUGAGGUGGAGCUAAUCCCAAAAAACUUCUCGUAGUCCGGAUUGAAGUCUGCAACUCGACUUCAUGAAGCUGAAAUCGCUAGUAAUCGCGAAUCAGAAUGUCGCGGUGAAUACGUUCUCGGGUCUUGUACACACCGCCCGUCACACCAUGGGAGUGACUUGUACCAGAAGCGGGUAGGCUAACCGCA